CCAACAUCAUUUCAAAACAACUUAGCCCCAGCAUUAUUUCAAUACAAACCAACAUAAACAAUUUAGCCCCAGCAUUAUUUCAAUACAAACCAACAUCAUCUCAAAAUAGAAGUAAACUCAUUCAAAACUCAAUAAAUCAUAAGCAAGUAUAGAAGCAAAUAAACCUAUUUUAAAAUGAAAUAGAAAGAAGUAUAGAGAAUAUAACAAUAAGAAUGACACGGACACAUACCAAAAAGAAGAAGCGGCGGCGGCGGUGCACAGUUGACGGUGGUUAGCGGCAGUUAUCGGCGGAAAUGACGGUGAUUUCGGUUUCUCUCCUUUUCUAUUAUUUUUAUUUCUAAAUAUAUAUGAUUUUAAGGAUUGAGUUGGGUUGUUACUCCUUAUACGCUCAACUAUUUUUCCAAAAUCUCUCUUUAAAAAAAAAUCUUUUCGUUUUUUCUCUUUUUUCAAAAAAAAUAAAAUAAAUAAGACUCUCUUCUUUAGAUGUGGUUUUUUAAUAUCAGUAGUGUUUUCUUCUAAAAGAUAAAUGAAUAUAUAUUUAUAGAGUUUUUUAACUUGUCUUGGUUCUUUCUUUGUCUGUGCUACUGUUUGAGUUUGAGCUUUCCAGUUCCUUGUUUGAUGCUUAUCUCUUUUGCUCAUCAUCUGAGUUAUUCUGCACAUCUGAUUCAUUCACGAUUUUAGCUUUAUUUGUUUUUAUCUUAUUAUUUUCAUAUGUUUGGACAAAGUUGGUUUGUUAGGUUAAAGAGCAUUUUUAUUUACAGAUUUGGUUAAUUUUGUACAUGAUUCAACCACAUUUGUCUUUUAGCUUUUUUUCUGUUUCAACUCAUAAUUUUGUCUUUUAGUUUUUAUCAUGUAUACAAAUGUUGACUUGUAAAAUUAUGUUUUUAAUUAGUUAGAAAAGGCACAAGGAUAGUGCAUCAAGCAGUGCAACAACAAAAAAUUCAAAUAAGGGAGGCAGUUGGAGCAAAAGCAAGGCAACGCACCAAAAGGAAAGCAAACAAGACAUGUAGCAUUUGGCAAGGCAACAUAAAAAAAUGACUUUUUCUGUUUUGUUUUUAAAUUGUAAUUUAAUUUGGCUAUAAUUUGAUUUGGCUUAAAAUUGUAAUUGUAAUUUAAAAUUGUGAUUUGAUUUGGCAUUGUAAAUUGAUGAGUCU
rnacentral:lncRNA from 1 species